CGAAAAAGCAAAAGAUUUUUAUGAACGAGCGAUAAAAAUUAAAACAAAAACAUUCGGACCUGACCAUGUUAAUAUUGCGACAACGUACAGCAAUCUGGGUUCGGUUUACGAUGAUAUGGGAGAGUACGAAAAAGCAAAAGAAUUUAAAGAAAGAGCGAAAGAAAUUAAAACGAAAGCAUUUGGACCUGAACAUGUACUGCAUUAAUAUACAACAAUCUUCAUUUGGUUAAAAACAAACUAUAGAUAUUGAAACUGAAGCAUUUGCACUUCUAUUUAUCUUUUAUUUUCUAGAAGCUAAAAUACUCCUGUUUUUUGAAAACGUACAAGGAGAUAGAAGAAGAGGAAAUGUAUUUGUAGCUUAUUUUCAAUGAAGAAGAAAAUCAAAUUCUCUUUUCAUUUUAGGUAGUGAUGUAGCCAAGAAAAAUGGAGCUUUUACUCUAAUUAUGUGUGUCUGGCCUAUAUUUACUGUUGUCAUCUCAUAUGUAGUGUAGUGAGUAACGAAAAAGUAAUUGAACAACAAAAUAUUUAUUUUCAUAGCACUGGUAGACUUGCUAUACACUACGAGUUGUCAUGGUGUUAUUAAAGGCUGAAUUCUGAUAUCUUCCUUUGAUUCUUAUUUUUUUAUUUUCCGUAAAUUAUACACGUAUUUAAUAAAAUAUACAUUUAAGUUGA